rnacentral:rRNA from 1 species
AUUGAACGCUGGCGGAAUGCUUUACACAUGCAAGUCGAACGGUAGAGGGGGCAACCCCUCGAGAGUGGCGAACGGGUGAGUAAUAUAUCGGAACGUGCCCAGUCGUGGGGGAUAACGUAGCGAAAGUUACGCUAAUACCGCAUACGAUCUAAGGAUGAAAGCGGGGGAUCGCAAGACCUCGCGCGAUUGGAGCGGCCGAUAUCAGAUUAGGUAGGUGGUGGGGUAAAGGCUCACCAAGCCAACGAUCUGUAGCUGGUCUGAGAGGACGACCAGCCACACUGGAACUGAGACACGGUCCAGACUCCUACGGGAGGCAGCAGAGGGGAAUUUUAGACAAUGGACGCAAGUCUGAUCCAGCCAUUCCGCGUGCAGGAUGAAGGCCCUCGGGUUGUAAACUGCUUUUGUACGGAACGAAAAGGUCUCUCUUAAUACGGGGGACUCAUGACGGUACCGUAAGAAUAAGCACCGGCUAACUACGUGCCAGCAGCCGCGGUAA